rnacentral:sRNA from 1 species
GCUGGGUAUGGAGUGCACACCUGUAAUCCCAGGAACUCGGGAGGCUGAAGCAGGAGGAUCUCAGGUUUGAGGCCAGCCUCAGCAAUUCAUCAAGGCCCUAUAAGCAACCUAGUGAGACCCUGUUUCAA